UCCUACGGGAGGCAGCAGUGGGGAAUAUUGCACAAUGGGCGAAAGCCUGACGCAGCCAUGCCGCGUGUGUGAAGAAGGCCCUAGGGUUGUAAAGCACUCUCAAUUGGGAGGAAAAGCUAAUGGUUAAUAACCAUUAGCCCUGACGUUACCUUUAGAAGAAGCACCGGCUAACUCCGUGCCAGCAGCCGCGGUAAUACGGAGGGUGCAAGCGUUAAUCGGAAUUACUAGGCGUAAAGCGCGCGUAGGCGGUUUUUUAAGUCGGAUGUGAAAGCCCCGGGCUCAACCUGGGAACUGCAUCCGAUACUGGAUGACUAGAAUGCGGGAGAGGGAGGUAGAAUUCCAUGUGUAGCAGUGAAAUGCGUAGAUAUAUGGAGGAAUACCAGUGGCGAAGGCGGCCUCCUGGCUCGACAUUGACGCUGAGGUGCGAAAGCGUGGGGAGCAAACGGGAUUAGAUACCCCGGUAGUCCACGCCGUAAACGAUGUCUACUAGCUGUAGGGGUACUUGAGACCUUUGUAGCGCAGCUAACGCAAUAAGUAGACCGCCUGGGGAGUACGGCCGCAAGGUUAAAACUCAAAUGAAUUGACGG
rnacentral:rRNA from 1 species